CAUAGGACAGUAAUGAUUAGAGGCAGUGUGUCAAGGAAGAACAGCAGCCUGGAUAAGUAACUACUGACUUCAAUUAGUUCUACAAUAUGUCUGGAACUCUCUGACUGCUCAGUGUAGCAGCCAGUCACAGCAGGGAAGUCUCUGCUCCAGGCUAACAUCCAGUAUCAUAAAACAGAGUUGAAUGAUUGAGAUGGAGGAGACACACUCAAACAGAACAUCCUCAAACAGUGGAUCAUUCCAUACCGAGACAGAGUUUCAAUGAGUUAGUGACUUAGCAUCAACACAAAAAAAAGAGAGAAUAUGGUAAGCCUGGUUUGAGGCAAAGUGUCACAUUUUGUGAAGCAAUAAAAGAGAUGACAGGGAGGUCCUCUGUAUGACUUAUCAAAAAGUUAAAGUAACUGUUCACUGGGAAGUUGAGGCAUGCAUAACAGGCUCUUCGAAAAGCACCAAGCUCCUAAAAUAAGUGACCCCACUCUGCAGACAGCCCUGGUCUUGAUGAGGAGAGGAGCUGCAAGUAGGGAGCCACAACGAAUUAACAUCCCACCCAAUAAACAGUAAGCAUGCAGGCCAAUGCUAUGUAGGCAGUCAACACCUCCAAAUCAGCAACAUGAUUUACAUCAAAAACAAAGGAAGUCCUUUUGAGAUUAUACUGACAACAACAAAAAGACACCAUACAUGUCCAGACAUUUUGGAACUCAUAGCUGGGAGAAAUAAAUUUGAGGUUGAGAAUGCCUUCAAAGCUAUUAUAGAUUGAUUGAACCUCUUGAAUUUUGUUUGGAAAUUUGUUCUGACAUAAUGCUGCAAGACAUUAUUAGUGUGAGCCAUCUAGGUUAUACUAUGUUAAAUGUUAAAGACAAACAGACCUUGCAACAUUCUGGAGUUUCAAGUGAGCGGAAGAGAAGCAUUUUUCCCUGAACCGGUCCUGGUCCUCAGUCUCAGUGCCAAGGACAGGAGUGAAAGAUCGGGGUGAGGAGAAAGUGAGCAUUAGCAUUUGAGACAGGAUGGUGUCACAGCCUGCAAGUAGUCACUCCCAGACGUCAGUGCAUCUUCAAUGGAUUAGUACAUCUAGUGAAGAGACCUUGGAGAAACAUGUGUUGUGUUGUUCAGUGUCUGUUAGCCAAAAAUGUACAUGUCCAAACAAAGAAUUCACUGGUUAGCUUUAAGGUAAUCUGAAAUGUAAUCUGUAUUUAGCUACAGAUAAAAAAAAAAAAAUGCAUUUAGUAUUUUGAAAGCUUCAUUGAUGAUUGAAAGUAACACAGUUCUAUAGGUCACAGUUAUAUAGGUGUUUGAGGUCACUGUCAUUUUCUGUUGGUGCAUGGACAAGUCUUGAGUCCAGCAUUGCAUUUUUUAAGUCUAUUUCUGCUUGUCAUACAUUAAAAAGAUGAAAGUACUGGUGAGGUCGGCUAUUACUAACAACCUGGUAGACUGUGUGUGACCUAUACAGUGGACGACCAAAGAAUGCUCACCAUAGUGUAAAACAGAUGAACAAAACUCUACAGAAGGCAAGGCCUGGAUCUGUCAGCUACAACCAUCUGCAGAGAUCAACUAAACUACAGAGGCAGGACUACAAGAUGAAAGUGCACAGAUACAACUUGUCAGACCCAACAAAAUGAUCCAGAUCCAACAAUAUGCCUCAAAUGGAGAUAAACCGACACCAAUGCUUUC
ensembl:lncRNA